AUUCAUCUGACGAGUCCCAAAUAGGAUGAAACGAGCGUCCCGUAU
rnacentral:hammerhead_ribozyme from 1 species